UGCAGCCAUACAAUGUGGCUGCUUUCCACUCGGUGGGUACUUUACGUUACCGGACGUUCAUAAUCACCAUUUAUAUUUUCCACUGACACAAAUAGCAGCUGGGUGCCGAGUGUGCAAAUCGUUUCCGGCCAUCUGCGAGUAGCUCACAAUUAGCUGGCCACCAAAUUAUAUCCAGAUUCAAAGCAGAUGAGGCCAUACACAAUUACGUCCACAGAUCCGAUCCGAUUCCAUUAGCUGAAGCUCGGGACAAGACAAGCGGCCAGUUCCUGUCGCCCGAAAUUGGCAAGAAAAUCAGCUCAGCGGUCCAAAAAAGAAAUGCUAAUGAGCGGCGAACAAACCAGUCGAAACGAAAACUGUUUGCCAGUCCAUUGUUGAGUGACUAGUAACUAAAACACAAGUAUGAUGUAUGCAAAUUUAUAAAUACAUACUUUGGUACCACAUUAAGGAACAACUACCAACUUUUUUUCAGUGCCCCGACUGGCGACUGAAUGCCUGAAUGACCGACUGAAUGAAUGAAGGAGACUACUCCUCUCGAUGGAGCGACGCACAAUUCAAUUGAAACUGUUGCCGGAUCGGGACUGGGCCCCGAAGUGGGUUUUGGAAGUGGAUGUGGAACUGGAAGAACUGCCGGCUUACCUUACCUUUCAAAUUGAUGAACAGCAACAAAGGCUGCCCGGGGACAAAGGAAAACCGGGCAUAGAAAAGCGACUUUCAAAGUUUCCAACGCGACAAUGAUCUGAGGGCAAGAAACGCCGAACAGUUGGUGACAACAAAACGGGCCAACAAUAAAAAUGAGUCCAGCCAAGAGAAAACCAUAAAAAGAUUUUUCCCGUUUUAUGAGGCCGGCCCCGCAACCUUCUCUGUGUCCCAUGACUUUUUCCUCAGUGUGAGUAUGCGCUUUUACGAAUUCAAAAAGCAAUUUACCAAAGGCAUCAUGAAAGGCAAUUCGCUGCUCCGUCUCCGUCUCCAAAACAACACGAAUCUCGGGUCUCGAGCUGUAAGUGCCUCUAAGGACGACAAGCAGGUCGAAGUGUCAGAAUCCAGACGGGGACUCAGGGACCAGACAAAGCGAGGUCUUCGGCGUACACAUAUAACAGUUUUACGAGCUAACGAAAGUGGUUCUGCUGCGGGCGCAGGAGAGGCCCCGAGAUAAUGCCCCCCGAUCCGAGUCGAUGCCGACAUAUUUGGGGUUUUACGAUCCCGCCGCCUUCGCAGCCAUUGUGCAUUGGGAAAAUUGUAAAUCACACUUGCCUACGGACCCACGGACAGAUAUGCGGACAGGCGGACGGUCCCCGUAUUGCCCCACAUUGGAGCAGACCCCGCGAUAAAACAUCGCACAUAAGAUGUAUAUUAGCGUGUCUGUUAAAUUGUUUUUAGUUGCCGACGCGUCUGCAAAUGAGCCAUUGUUAAAAGGGUGAGGGGGAAACUGGGGAGAAAGGGGCGAUCUGCGAACUCGGGGCGACUGGGGGUACUUAAGUAUUGAAGCUCUUUAAAUGUUGCUACUUGUACGGGUGUACACAUGUCUGUGAACUCAUUCUCGUCUGAUGUUGCAUUACGAAAUGGUUUCAUGCUUGUGCAUUCCCCACCCACCGCCUUCGGGGCGAGGUGGGUGUGGGGGUGGUUGCCAAGUGGGUGGGGGUGUGGACGGUGGGUGUUACGCGGCUAUCGGUGGUGUGAACUCACUGCGAAUGGCCAUUCAUCGCCACAGUUGUGUUUGAGCUCGUAACUCCCGCCAUGUUCGAUAAUUUACAUUGUGCAAAGUUCCCCGCACUAUAGGUGAAAAGUUAUCUUCUUACAGAAAGCAAAUAAAACUGUUAGUACAUACAUAAAUGGGCAGACCAUAAAAAGUAGUACUGUAAAUAAGGCUUACAAAAACAAAAGAUACAUAACCGACAUAUUUCCGACUAUUUACAAUCAUCAUAGGAUAGAGAAGAAGUAACACGAGAGGGAUAGAAGAUAGAUCGAACAGGUAAUCGUUUUAGAUCGUUUUAGAACAGGUUAAGUACAUUGAUAUUUCGAGGUUUUAUUUGUUUUCUUAUUUGAUUUGAAAAUUGUUUU